UUUUAAUCCACUAACACCUAUGGAUUUAAUGCCUUUGCCUAUGCAUGAACGAGGUAGCUUGGAUGGGAAACGAAAAGCCGAGAUGGUGAAAACACUCCAUGAAAAGGUCAGGAUGCAGAUCGAAGAGAAAGGAAAGCGGAUUGCAUCAAAAGCAAAUAAAGGAAGAAGACGCGUUACAUUUGAGCCUGGAGAUUGGGUUUGGGUGCAUUUCAUAAAAGAGUGUUUUCCAGAACAGAGGAAGUCAAAAUUGCAACCACGAGGCGAUGGACCUUUUCAAAUCAUCGAGAGGAUCAAUGACGAUGCAUACAAAGUGGAUUUACCAGGUGAGUACAAUGUUUCAGCUACUUUUAAUGCAUCUGACCUCUCUCUGUUUGAUGCAGGUUCAGAUUCAAGGAUGAAUCCUUUUGAAGAGGGAGGGGAUGAUUUGAUCUAGGAGUCGAGCCCGACGAAGGCAAGUGCGAGACGAGACCCGUUGAUAGUCGAUGGCGGACCAAUGACGCGAUCAAGGGCAAAGUAAGUGAAACAAGCGAUGGGAUUGCUCGUUCAAGAAUCCAUUGAUGGAACCAUGUUCGGGACUCAAAAUGGAGCAACUUUCAUGUUCGGGUCGAAGGCCGAAUUGACUUGGAUCAAUUUGUUAUCAAGCGACGAAAGCAGAGGCAGAAAACAACAACAUGCGAUCGCACAGGCAAAACUCCACGCGGCCGCACACAUGGUUCCCGAAAACCAAAAGUGCAAUUUCAGU
rnacentral:lncRNA from 1 species